rnacentral:rRNA from 1 species
CUAUACAUGCAGUCGAGCGGACCGACGGGAGCUUGCUCCCUUAGGUCAGCGGCGGACGGGUGAGUAACACGUGGGUAACCUGCCUGUAAGACUGGGAUAACUCCGGGAAACCGGGGCUAAUACCGGAUGCUUGAUUGAACCGCAUGGUUCAAUCAUAAAAGGUGGCUUUUAGCUACCACUUACAGAUGGACCCGCGGCGCAUUAGCUAGUUGGUGAGGUAACGGCUCACCAAGGCGACGAUGCGUAGCCGACCUGAGAGGGUGAUCGGCCACACUGGGACUGAGACACGGCCCAGACUCCUACGGGAGGCAGCAGUAGGGAAUCUUCCGCAAUGGACGAAAGUCUGACGGAGCAACGCCGCGUGAGUGAUGAAGGUUUUCGGAUCGUAAAACUCUGUUGUUAGGGAAGAACAAGUACCGUUCGAAUAGGGCGGCACCUUGACGGUACCUAACCAGAAAGCCACGGCUAACUACGUGCCAGCAGCCGCGGUAAUACGUAGGUGGCAAGCGUUGUCCGGAAUUAUUGGGCGUAAAGCGCGCGCAGGCGGUUUCUUAAGUCUGAUGUGAAAGCCCCCGGCUCAACCGGGGAGGGUCAUUGGAAACUGGGGAACUUGAGUGCAGAAGAGGAGAGUGGAAUUCCACGUGUAGCGGUGAAAUGCGUAGAGAUGUGGAGGAACACCAGUGGCGAAGGCGACUCUCUGGUCUGUAACUGACGCUGAGGCGCGAAAGCGUGGGGAGCGAACAGGAUUAGAUACCCUGGUAGUCCACGCCGUAAACGAUGAGUGCUAAGUGUUAGAGGGUUUCCGCCCUUUAGUGCUGCAGCAAACGCAUUAAGCACUCCGCCUGGGGGAGUACGGUCGCAAGACUGAAACUCAAAGGAAUUGACGGGGGCCCGCACAAGCGGUGGAGCAUGUGGUUUAAUUCGAAGCAACGCGAAGAACCUUACCAGGUCUUGACAUCCUCUGACAACCCUA